AUUCAACAAAAACGUGCUGAUAAAACUUGCUCUGUUUAUCAUUAACGACGAGCCUUUGUAUUUUUUUCAUAAUUUUGUCUAAAAGAAAAUAAAAAAUGCGUUAUUUAGUUGUAUAAUUCAUUUAUAAGAAAUAUUCUUUUUCUUUGUAUCUAGCCACGAUUUCCGGUUCCCGCCAUUUCGCGCCGGCGUCGUGGGUGUGUGGAUGCAACGUAGUGCUCCCGGUUUUAUUUUGUCUAAGCGACCUUUUCUGACGUGUCAACCAAGGAUCAAACACUGGUCGUUGCGGGGAUCGGCUUCAGAGGGCCAAGGAUGGCGUCUUGAAUCGCUGUUUAGUCGACAGGCAACUGUAUGACGCCAUCCCUGUCAACCAGAGCGUCGACUGAAGUAGGGCGGCGUUGCGCGGACCUGGCCGCACCCGACCAACCGGCGGAGUACCUGACUCGGGCUGGGCGGAGACUACCUACAUCACGACCUUUUGAACUUUGAUCUCGUGGCGAGAAACAAUAUGACGUAAGGAAGUGUGUAUGUGGCUGGCGGGGCCGAGGGUGAAAUGCGCCACGUGUUUAUCCUGCCGGAUGACGACAGCGUCACCAACCUGUCAAAGAACGAGCUGGUGCAGCGCGUGAUGACUGCUAUCUCGUCCCUAGAACCGGAGUAGAAAAACGUGCGCAUAGCCCAGAUGAAGCGAACCAAAACACAGACAGGACUGAUAGCUUUUCGGUCGAGAAUGUUCUGAAGAUGCUGAUCAGUAGACCAAUUGGUGACCGUUUUCGGUGGUAAUAUGGGAUCUUGUGGUGUUCCAAAGCGACCUGCUUUGGGUGUGGACAUAAGUGGCUCAACCUGACAGGAUUGAUGUUUUAGGUAGCCGUGCUAAUCAUAAACCCUAUAUUGAGUGUAUCUGUACAAAUUUUGUUUAUAUUUAUUUCAUGUAUUUGAUUCGAAACCGAAAAUUGCUGUUUGUAAUUAGGCAACAUCGAGACGUUGAGGUCAUUCUCCAGACGUUUAUUUGUUUUUUUCUCACCUGUCCGCGGUAUGUCUUAUUGGUUAGGUCUCAGUUUCAAAUAUUAUUAACUGCAUGUUUUGCAAAUACGUAGCCAUAUUGAAUAAGAGACGUGUCCUAAAAGUGAGUAUUGCUUUGCAUGGGAUGUGAGCAUCAACGACAGGGCUUUGUGAUGGCAAAUAUGUGGCAAUUGCAGGGAUCGUUGUGAAAUGUGUUAUGAAUAUCAUCGUAUUAUUUGCGAAUGCAAAUACAUCCGUGUAUCAUAUUUUCAUUCAAAUUGUGCAAUUUGUGCAACGGGCUUGAGUAUAUUGUUCGGCGAAAUAUCUCCUACUGUACUCCACAGAAAUGGGACGGGAUACAGAUGCGUAGAAACACAUUCAUGAACACGUGAAAGACGAUAAGUUAACUUUUUUUUACUCAAAAUCAAUGCUACAAAGCAGGGAUGUGGAGCCGUGAAAAUGUCAGACGGCUUCGGCUCCGGAGGAAAAAAUCGGCUCCAGCUCCGGCUCCGGCUCCGAGUAAAAUGGUCGGGCUUCGGUUCCGGCUCCGACUCAGUACAACCCCUAUACAAAGGUCAGCACGGCUCCCUUCACGCAUUCCCUCGAAGGCUUGCAGCUUUGAGCAGGGAGCCAGGGUGAGUGCUGAAAAUCCCUGGUCUACCGUGGGAAUAAGGUCUAGAAAAAAAUUACACGAUCCUGUGCUGAUAAUAUCUUAAUGAAUUUAUUGAAUUUGCAUUAUUUGCACACAAGAAACAUCCCAUAAAUCAAUUUAAAGGGUGAAGUACGUCUGCAGAAAGUCAGUUCGCAGAAUCAAUAUAUUGAUAAACCAGCUGAUUUCAGAAUCAAAAUAAUGAUUAGCCAGCUGUUUGCAGAAUCAAAAUAUUGAUUCUCGCCGGGAUUAGCCGCCGUGAUGAAUCAAUAUCUUGAUUAUUUUCAAGACACUUUCCAAAACUAACCAAAGAGGUUAGGGCUAUUGUUUCGUGCCUGGUGGGCAGCUUCAACGUUGCUCUUCAUUUUGUGAAGAAACUAUCUUGAAAUUGUAGCCGGUUGCUGAAGAAUUGACGUUUCUGUGAUGGUCUGCACGUAUGCCCAUAUAUGGUCAAAGCUCCGCCCACUAGAAUCAAUAUUUUGAUGCCUCCAUAUUUUGAUUCCCGCCGCCUAGUUUGCCCAACUGAACUCAAACUGCUGCACAUGCUACAAAAUGACCAUUUUUUGCUACACGAUUAAAUCUCUACAAGUGACACCACCUUAGUUGAAGCCGUGAGACGUCAUGACGUGCUUUGGCGUCCUCAGGACAGCAACUACUUUAACAGAAAUAAGAAGAAGCUAGCAUGGGAGGAGGUGGCAAAGACCACUGGGAGAUCAGUUCAGGAUGCAAAAUCGAAAUGGAAAAGUCUGCGUGACUACCACCUACGCAAACGCAGGCAAUUGCCAAGUGGCUCUGGCUGCCCGCCACCAGAGAACUCCUCCUGGCAAAAGGAAAUGUCAUUUUUGGAUGAUGCCAUCAAGCCUAAACCCUUUGUGUGUCUGAUGAGGACAGCAGCGAGACUCAACUACCAGACGACAGUGCUGCAGCGAGCUGUGCCUCAGGAGUCCUCCCAGCUGCGACGCUCCUCGGAACGCCUCGGGUGUCCGCGGUGCCACCAGCAGCGAGCUGUGUCGCCGGCCCGAGCCAUCCGCGCUCUUCUGGCACCAACGGCCAAGUCAAGCAGGUCAGGGGGCCGGGUGCUCGUGGCGCCGAGAAGCUUGACGCCGCCAUAGCGUCCAUAGAACGCGCGGUGAGCGACCUCCGUAACCCGGACCUACUAUUUGGUCAGCUGGUGGGGUUGGAGAUGGAGCGUGUGAGGGACGACAAGAAAGCGGAUGCGAGACUGGAGAUUCUUACAGUCUUGAAAAGGGCGCAGUCCGAUUAAAAGCAGGUGAUAACCUUCGCACGGGUGGGGGAGGGGGGACGUUUUUCACACAUAUUUGAUAAAAAAUGACCAGAAUGAUUCAAAACGAUCUUAUAGCCAGACAUGUGCAUGGAUCCGAGAGGUGGAUCUAUGAUCUGAGCGGAUCUCUCGAGCUUAUGGGUAAGAUCUAUGAUCUGAGUGGAUCUCUCGACACAGUUGAGGGGUUGGAUCUAUGAUCUGAGUGGAUCUCUCGACAAAGUUGAGGGGUUGGAUCUAUGAUCCGGGUGGAUCCCAGAUCUAGAUUCAUGGGAUCGAAUUUCAGAUCCAUUUUCCCGGAUCCAUGCACAUGUCUGCUUAUAGCGAGCUAUAUAAUGCCUGUUCGGCGUCUUUCCAGCUUCCUUUGAUUCUGAGAUAAUGUGAUGCGGCCAAAUGCGUCCCCUCUCCAUGCAACCUCCACCAUGGCGAACUUUGCUGAGCCUGAGUCAUAUUCUGCGUAGUGUGUAUUUCCGCUGUCUGAUCGCUAUAGCGACCCUUUUUCAAGUUUUGAUUUAGGAGUGAAUUCGUUUACCUGGUGUUUAAAUGUUUGAGCUCCUUUGCUGUGAAGUUGAAGUUGGACGUUACGUGGUUAUCUGACUUUGGUUGUUGGAAAGGGCGACAGUUAAUGUUAUUUAUUUCCACUACUUUCGCGUGCAAUAAACGACAAAGGCCG